AAUUAAAUCCAAAAUUCAAAUGAUCGGUGGAGCGGUGGGUCAUCCAAGAAUGGAAGUAACCGUUUCUUGAUUGCUUUUAGUUGCCGUUGAUCGUGGUCGUCGCUUCCGUUCCGUCUCUUGCCUCUCCCGCGCUCCCGCGCUUCCAGCCCUCCACCACCACAACCGCUCGCUCUCCCGCCGGCGCUCUCCACCACCACCGCUGCUCGCUCUCCAGCCGGUGACCACCACCGGACCACCACCACUGUCGUGCCCCAAAGUGAAUGGCAAUUUGCGAGCGAGGGUUUUGAUCGCGGAGUCUCGAUUCAUCUCAAGCUGCAUUAUCUACGGUUGGUUGAGGAACAAGCUUUCUGGUACGUUUGGAGGCUCUGAAUCAAACAUUGUUUUACAGUGGGCACAACAGAGGGAUUUGAAGACGUCAAAUCUUCUGCUGAAUAAUAGUGGGGAGCUGAAAAUUUGUGAUUUUGGUUUGGCUCGCCAGUAUGGAAGUCCUCUGAGACCUUACACAUAGUUGGUGGUCACAUUGUGGUAUCGAGAUGCAGGUUCCACUAUUUAUUUACAUGGGAUUACAUUUGGAUAGAUAUGGUUGCCAAAGAAUUGUUGAUUUCAGCAUUUGAUAUGGCAAGCAUAUCUUUUCUUUAUUUCUCGUGUUCAUCGCUAAUUUUGUCCACGAACAUGGGAUUACAUUUGGGUAGAUAUAGUUGCCUAAAGAGUUGCUGAUUUUCAGCAUUUGAUAUGACAAGCAUAUGUUUUCUUUCU